rnacentral:rRNA from 1 species
UGGGGAAUAUUGCACAAUGGGGGAAACCCUGAUGCAGCGACGCCGCGUGAGCGAAGAAGGCCUUCGGGUCGUAAAGCUCUUUUAUCUGGGAAGAUAAUGACGGUACCAUAGGAGGAAGCCCCGGCUAACUACGUGCCAGCAGCCGCGGCAAUACGUAGGGGGCGAGCGUUUGCCGGAAUUACUGGGCGUAAAGGGUUCGCAGGCGGCAUGGCAAGUCCGAUGUAAAAGGCGAAGGCUCAACCUUCGUAAGCAUCGGAAACUGUCAAGCUUGAGUGAAGGAGAGGCAAGUGGAAUUACUAGGGUAGCGGUGGAAUGCGUAGAUAUUAGGAGGAAUACCGGUGGCGAAGGCGACUUGCUGGACUUCAACUGACGCUGAGGAACGAAAGCGUGGGUAGCAAACAGG